rnacentral:piRNA from 1 species
UGUUACUGGUUGAGUGCAUCGGUAGGUGGUU